rnacentral:lncRNA from 1 species
UUGGUAAGUUUUACGGAACUGCACAAAGAUGAGAAGACUGCUAUGAAUGAUACAGGAAAAUUAGGAAAUCUGGCAGAAAUUAGUGACUGGAGCAUUCCUUCAAUUUUCUGUUUUUUGGAAUAUCCAUGGAGUUUAAGAUUAUUUUGUUUCUAUUAAAUGCUUUAAUAAUGAGGAGAAAUCCGAUAUAUUACUGUCGAUACUAUUAUCCAUCACCCUUUACCAUUCCACGAUAUUAUCAUCUCUGAUGUGUGAUCUUCCACUUGCCAACCUUCUCUGAUUUUCCAACUUGAUGCUGAGCCUGUCAUAUAGUUAUUAUUUGUCUUCUUGAAAUAAUCCUAUCAUUUUGGAACUUAUGAAAUAAUCCUAUCAUUUGUCUUCUUGAAUGAUGACUUGUAUUUUUUUCCUGUUUUACUUGCUGCAGCAUGCCACAUCGUGAAGAACUACCUUGCUCAUCUUCUCAACGUGAAAAUUCCUUUGAUUCUAGGUUAUAUAUUUGAAAUAGUCAAGUGAAUUUUUUUUUUUCUACUUUGAUUGGGAAGGAAUGAGGGGAUGUUUAAAAGCUUAGACAUACUUGUUUUUUACUUUUGUGGGUGGAUCGGUUUAUAUAUGGGAGUGUUAAGUAUAAAUUCCAUACUUCUCAUUGUUAUAUUUGUCCUUAACGGUUUGGGUCUUAGGACUGCUCACAACAAUCUUGAAUCCUUUAUGAUGGUUUCAACAGCUAUGCUGGAAACAACAUUUCACUGCAUUAAAUAUCUUAUGGACUGCAGAUUCUUUUUCUGGCAUUUCUCGCAAAACCAAUGUAGUAUAUAGCUUGAAUUCUCAUUUAUUUUAUUUCUGAAACAUUGGAUUUUGACUUG